GUGGGAAGUCAUCGCCGUGUUUCUGCAGCCCACAGCCUGAGGGACCUGAGAUUCACACCAUAGUGGGUCCCACUCUGCGAGGGAGUGGAAUCGUCCAGACCCUUUGGGCGGAGCACUGUGACGUGCACUUGGCGGUGCGAGUUGCACGCGGAGCCCGGGUAACCUGUGGCAUGAAGCUCCAACCCCACAAGCACUCACGCUCGUCCUCCACAGCCAACCAGCCGGUGAGACUCCGGAGACACAGCCGUGAGCCAGCGCUGAGCACCAUGGGGGGAUUCCGGCUUUCGGGAGAACCAGGUGCAGGCUACGUCUCUGCUCGCGGCCCACCUGGUUUUGUUCAUCAUCCAAAGUAACAUCCAGGAAAAGCACUGACAAAAACUCAGUGCCAUCAUUCUAUCAAUUCUCCUUGAGAUAAGGACGGGUGGAAAUCAAGCGUUUUAUCUAAACUCAAUUCGCAGACAUCUGUAUUCUGUUGUUAUGACACUGAGCAGAAAACGCAAACCCAGAAGAGAACAGUUAGGAUUAUACAAGCUAACGUGAGUGCUUCUCUUCGCCCUGGCAUUGCGACGUCUUCUCCAGAAUGGUUAGCUAAUCUCAAGACAGGCUGCACGCACUUCUCCUCUAUCCAGCUCUACAGGACGGCCCUGUGGAAUGGAGCAUGGACAGCUAGCAGGGGUGCCCAGUUUGCAGGAGCAGCUAGCGUCACUCGGUGCUCUGGAGGACAGAGCCAGAUUUCUGAAACUCAACAGAGAGGUAUUUGGAGAGGACGGCCCAGAGCAGAGGACCUGCCCCUGUCUUCCCAUCCUGAGCUUGGAGCUGCCACAUUGCCUAAUUCAUCGGUUCGCCGAGGCAGCUGCUAUUGGCAACAGGUGAAGUCCGGAAGCCGGCAAUGAGGCCAGGCAGCAGGAAUUUGGCAGAAGGCAUCAAGUGAAGGCUUCAGACACGUUUCACAGGACAAUGGGCCUUCUGCACAGGACUUUUUCUCGGUGCAGAGCAAACUUUUGUAACCAGUGUGAAUAACCAGAUUAAAGCCCCCACUCACCUCAUCAGACUGCUCUUCUGCACUUAGAACAACUUGUCACCCGUGUCUGUCUGCUCUUCAGCUCCAUUUCCCCUGUGACACUAAGGUACAUGAGUUCUACCACUGUGCUUUCACACCGGACUCCCUGCGUUGGAUACUGUGGGCAGGGCCAGAUCCCUCCGCACUGCACAGCCCUCUUCGCUCCCCUCGUGCUCUCCUCAGAAAGCAGACAGGAGACACCCAACCUAAGACAGUUAACUCCUAUUUCUUGUGAUUCUCUCUAGGCAUGAACACUAAUCUAUUAUACAUAAAACACAAGGUUAUCGUCAGUGGGUUUUGGGGUUUGUAACAAGUAUUUAUUGAGUACUUACUACAAAGCCUUUUUAUAGGUUAUUAGGAUUUGGCCAUAAGAAAAACAAGGUCAGUUUUCCUACUUAGCUUAGCCACUACUGGGGAGAUACACAGUGAGGAGACAAAAGACACCCCAGGUCUGAGAAAUGCAUGAUAAAGAGCAGGUGGGGAGGGGAUGAGGGAAACUAACUACAGAGCUGGGUGUGGUGGGGAGGCCUGUCACCUCCUCUGCGCAGGAUCCCAGGCUGGAGGCUCUCAACCUGGGCAGUUCAGUGCCCUAGCAACACCUAAUUAAUUAAUGAAUGGGGCUGAGGAUGUAGCUCAGUGAAAAGGCCUGGACUCAAUCCACAAUAGAAAGAAAGAAAGAAACAAAAAGAGAAAAAAAAGAAAGAAGGAAGGGAGGAAGGAAGGAAGGAAAAAAGAAAAGAAAAGAAAAGAGAGGGAGGGAGAAGAAAAUACCUCUCUAGAUUUAGCUUUAACCAUAUGUAAUUUGGUAUCCCUCUGAGUGUGGCGUUUCAUGCCCGGAAUCCUACCUCCACAGGAAGAUCACAAGUAACAGCCCAGCUUGGGAAACUUCAAAACCUACUGUGACCCUGUUUCAAAAAUAAAGUUUUUUAAAAAUGGGGGCUGGGGAUGUAGCUCAGGGCAAAGGGCCUGGUUUCAGUCGUAGUGCCACCACCACCACGAACAACAUAUAAAAACCAAAACAAAUAUAUAAAACCAAAACAAAGUGGUAUUCAUUUAUUUACUGGUAUUUUGAGUGGACUAUGACUUCUGGCCCCUUUCCAUGUCCUGGGUAUGUUAGGUCAAGAGAGAACGCAGAGUGAAUUGUGCAAUUAAUGUACUUACACAUGAAAAUUCACAAGUAAUACUGUACUUUCAUUGGUAAGAAAAUUUAAAUUUCCCUGGUAGCAUGAGUUGGUAUAGAAAAAAGAAAAAGAAAGCAAUAAUACGUGUAUAAAAUGUACCUAAUUGUUAGAACACAAUAAUAU
ensembl:lincRNA